rnacentral:misc_RNA from 1 species
UCUCCGUUGGUGAACCAGCGGAGGGAUCAUUACAGAGUUGUAAAACUCCCUAAACCCAUGUGAACAUACCUGUUGCCUCGGCGGGCUUACCCUGUAGUUACCCUGUAGCUGCCUGGGGAUGACCGCCGAAGGACCAUCAAACUCUUUUAUCUCUGUAUCUCUGAGUAAAAAAACAAAUAAGUUAAAACUUUCAACAACGGAUCUCUUGGUUCUGGCAUCGAUGAAGAACGCAGC